CCUCACUUUCAAUUUAGAAACAUCAAGUGACAGAUACCUUUGAGUUUGCGCGUGAAUAGCAUGUCGGUGACGAAAUGGAGUGACCGAAUUUACUCUUGGAUCAUAAAUGUCAUACAAGUGAACCUCCAUGGCCUUUUGUACAGCAAGAUCCCGAAGUAGGUCAUGCAUCCUACAUGUAAGAAUUUUAUCGAAGAAUGUGUCGGCCACUUGAAUCAAGCUUCGACUUAUCAGCUCAUGAAGGAAGUUUUCAGCAAUAUCCUCCAUGUGUACUUCUCUCAUUCUUGGCAUGAAUCCCUCUGCCAGCCAUAAAUGCAUCAACUUUUCUGUAUCAAUCAUUUCAUCUUCUCGGAAAAUGCCAAAGUACAGAAAACAUUGCUUGAGCUCAAAUGACAAAUCAUUGUAGCUCAGUGAUAGGAUGUGAGUGAUCUCAACAGAGUCAUUCUUCAUAUGCUGCCAAAGGUGUGUCUUCACCUUUUGCCAUUGGUCCACCCCUCUUUUGUGGGAAAGUAGCCCACCUAGUACCACAAUUGCAAGUGGUAAGCCUUUGCACUUGUCCACCAUUUCCUCAGCUAGCUUUUUCAUUAAAGGAGAGAACAAGUCAAUACCACCCAUCUUAUUCUCUGGACAUAGUUUCUUGCAUAAAAGGUCCCAACUUUCUUCUUUAUUUAGAAAACGAAGUUUAUGGGAGAAACCUUUGUCAUCGACUCUUUCAGCCACAUCCUCUUUUCGUGUUGUAAGGAUAACUCUACUUCCAUUGUUGUUAUCCGGUAAGGCUCUUUUCAGGCUCUCCCAAGCUUCUCGAUGCCAUAGAUCAUCAACCACGACAAGGUAUUUGCGCUCUUUCAAUAGAUCACGGAGGUGAGUUUCUAGAUCUCUCUCUGACAUCUCCUUCAGCAAUUUGAGCAGUUCUUCACUGCAACCAUGGAUAGAUUUUAUGAUACUCCGAAGGAGAUCUGGGGUACUAUACUGUUGAGAGACGCAUAUCCAAGCACGAGUUUGAAAGAUAGCUAGUAGACCUGGGGAGUUAUAUAGGUUUCUUGCGAGAGUGGUCUUUCCCAACCCACCCAUACCAUAAAUUGAAAGGACAUUUCGACGAGACUACUUUUUGAGAAUUUCAUCAAGUAGUCUUUGAAAGACCUCUUGAAAGCCAACAAAGAGUUGAUCUUUCUCUGCAUAGGACACUGCUCUCCUCAAUGUUCUUAUUAAUGAGGAAGACGGAUCAUUUGGCCUAUUACUUGGCCCUUCUCUAGCAUUAAUAUUCAUAUAAGUAAUACCAUAGGUAUCUCGUUUUCGAGAGAUAUCCAUGACUCUUUCCUUGAGGGACUGGAUUUCCUUCCCAAUGUUGUGGAAUUUGGCCUCUUUCUGAUGGAUGCAAGAACAAGCCUUGAGACGAUCAACAAAUCCAACAGCAUAAUCACCAUCUUUUGCCGCAUCCAAACUGUAUGCUUCUAAGAUGUACACAGCUUCAUUAGCAACGGACGUGAUUUCAAAUAUCCAUUGCUGCACGAGGUUAUCUUGUUCUUGCUUUUUUUGGGCAUCUUUGAGGAAAGCUUGCAUGAAAGACAGUUCAUUUCUCAGCUUUCGUGUUGUAAGGAUAACUCUACUGCCAUUGUUGUUAUCCGGUAAGGCUCUUUUCAGGCUCUCCCAAGCUUCUCGAUGCCAUAGAUCAUCAACCACGACAAGGUAUUUGCGCUCUUUCAAUAGAUCACGGAGGUGAGUUUCUAGAUCUCUCUCUGACAUCUCCUUCAGCAAUUUGAGCAGUUCUUCACUGCAACCAUGGAUAGAUUUUAUGAUACUCCGAAGGAUACUAUACUGUUGAGAGACGCAUAUCCAAGCACGAGUUUGAAAGAUAGCUAGUAGACCUGGGGAGUUAUAUAGGUUUCUUGCGAGAGUGGUCUUUCCCAACCCACCCAUACCAUAAAUUGAAAGGACAUUUCGACGAGACUACUUUUUGAGAAUUUCAUCAAGUAGUCUUUGAAAGACCUCUUGAAAGCCAACAAAGAGUUGAUCUUUCUCUGCAUAGGACACUGCUCUCCUCAAUGUUCUUAUUAAUGAGGAAGACGGAUCAUUUGGCCUAUUACUUGGCCCUUCUCUAGCAUUAAUAUUCAUAUAAGUAAUACCAUAGGUAUCUCGUUUUCGAGAGAUAUCCAUGACUCUUUCCUUGAGGGACUGGAUUUCCUUCCCAAUGUUGUGGAAUUUGGCCUCUUUCUGAUGGAUGCAAGAACAAGCCUUGAGACGAUCAACAAAUCCAACAGCAUAAUCACCAUCUUUUGCCGCAUCCAAACUGUAUGCUUCUAAGAUGUACACAGCUUCAUUAGCAACGGACGUGAUUUCAAAUAUCCAUUGCUGCACGAGGUUAUCUUGUUCUUGCUUUUUUUGGGCAUCUUUGAGGAAAGCUUGCAUGAAAGACAGUUCAUUUCUCAGCCAAAGAACGUUCUCUCUCAGACUUUGGCGCAGGGAAACUUCCUCUAUGAGGAAAUCCCCAAGUUUUUGAACUGCAUAGGACACAACUGCAUCAACCAUCCUGAUGAUCUUGAGGCUAGUUUUUCACUGUAAUUAGGAUUAACUGCUAUACUUAACUAUAUGAUUGCAAGCAAAUAAGUAGUAUUAUAACUCGAUCACGAUGUCAUCACAGUUUAAGUACAAAUUUAAACCAUGAAGAAGAGUUGGAAAUUUCCACCUGGUUAUGAAAGUCAAGGCUAUCAACUAUCAAGUUGUUCUCAUACUCAAAUUCUUAGCGCGUAAGAAUCUAUAGACUAAGUCACGGUCCUGUAUUUUGCUUGCAUUAUUUAGUGUUGAAAAUGAAAUAGUUGCUUUCACAAAGUUCAAACUAUGGGAUAUUAUAAUGAAAGUUCAAUUAGUUUAUGUCCAUAACCAAUCACUAUGCCAAGCAGAAAAAGGCAAAGUUGGUGACCUAAAACAUGGAAGGAUAACAAUAUGACCAUCCAUUUUACCUUGCACUUUGAAUUAUUGGUAUCUAAAAAAUUCAAAAUUUAUUGCAAAUUCCAUCUUCAUUCAAAAGUUGUAUAUAGACAAUUUCUAAUAUUCCAACUAGUCUAUAAGCCAUAGAUAUUCUCAAAAAUAUUUAGAAAAAAACUUGGCAAAUAUUAUUUGGCCAUUCAACUUGCCAUUAUUUGGCAACUAUAUUUAGCAAACCAUUCAAGACCCACCUUUUUAAGACUCCACCAUUAUUGAAGAGCUGAUCUUGUGUGAGGCGUAGGGUUCAAAUUGCAAUGAACAUUUUUGACUCCCACAACCCAAAAGUAAUUGAAACCCAAACAAUAUUUCAUCAAUCAAAACCGUUUUCAUUGAUUCGAGGAAAAAAUGAUUCAUGUGAGAAUAGAGUACUGUGGUAGUGUGGUUUUUGUACGGACAAAAUAAAGUUCUUCGAUUUUUGAUUUUUUUUCUCCGUCAUAAAAGUACUCUUUGAUAAUCAUUAGCCAAGUAACUGAAAUAUAAAUUUGCAUAACGUGCUUUUAACUUGGCCUUAAUUUAAUCUAUGUGCUUCAACUAGAGGUGUAUAAGUAAACACUUAAAUUUGUAUAAAAUUAAACAACUAACACAUGUAUAUAAAAAAAAAAAAAGUCACUUCCCUUGAGAGGUCACAAAAAACUUCAUUUCUAAUUCACGCCUUUUCAAAUCCAACAGCAUUCAUCAAUCAAAAUCGAUAAAUUCACCUGUAAUAAUGCAUGUUCCACGGCGUUAUUUCUCUGUUUUUGGCAUAGAAAUCCUAUUCGAAUCAUUAGCCAUGUUAAAAAAAAUAUGCCAAGUGGCUCAAGAAGCAUAAUUUUGUAGCUAUGUCGUUUUCGGCACAAGACAAUUUUUGUUGUAAUACAAUAAAUCAUCUUCGACAUGAAUGGACAAGAGUGGGUUAAGCACCCUCGGACUCCAAUCAUAAGUUUGUGUGUUCGAGUCAACAAAAAAAGUAGGAGCUCCUAGUGAAGGGUAGGGGGGAAAUCUUGAACAAGGACAUAUGAGGAUCCAUUGCAGAUACACCUGACAUUCAAUAAUAGCAAGAUUUCUAGGAUGUCAACAGAAUGAGAUGUUAUCCUAAAGGAAUAAAAGAACAAAACUUGGUAGAACUCGAGCGAGUUUAUGAAGGAAACAAGCCCCUUACAAAACAGUGAUGACAUUUAUUUUUGACUAAAAGGUGGGAAGAAUCAUCUAUUAAGUUGGCAUCGCAAUGUAUAAAACUCAUCACUUCUAACAUCUUUAGUAUAUACCACAAACUUGUCCCACCAAUGCGAGCCAUUGUCUUUUCGAGCUUCAUCGUUACUUAAUGGAAGAGUCCUAUCCAAAAAUACAGCAACUGCAGCAGCUAUCGUGGCAUGUGAUGUGAAGAUGACAGAUAUUGCGUCAUUAAACUGCAUUUGAAGAAAACAAACAUUGGUAUGAGGAUGUUUUGUAAUGAUAAUCCUUAAAAGUAACAGAGUUUAGUCAAUGAAUGUUGAGAUUACCCAUCUAGAAUGUGUAUGAAGAGGACCAGUUCCAAUAUGAAGUUUGUUCUAAAGAAGAUGCAGUAUAUUGCAGCCAUGAUUGAUGCAGGUAUUGCUCCAAAUUAUCCUGACCAACAAUAAAGCAUGUCACGACUUAAAUCAAUUCAUUAGCAUUAGCUAGCAUACGUAGAAAUAGAGUAUAAUUUAGGUAGAAAUACAUGAAUUGGUCAGUCUUUUUUCCAUCAACUAAUAAAUUCUUGUCCAUGAAUCAAUACAUCAGCACUAGCAUACCUAAGACGGAGAAGAAAAAACAUAAAAGCAGCAGAUAUUUGCAUGACUCUUCGGCUUCCAACUCUUGUCAUUGCCCAGAGACCAGCAUUAUCCCUGUAAAGUUUUAGCUUAGCCGAUUUUCUAUGUCAACCAUAUUUAAUUAAUGGUAUGUCACAUGAAAGUCGAGCAUAGACGAGUAUAUUUGUAGAAUUCGUACCCUAGGACGAAAUUUAGAAUAAAGGAGCAUUGUAGAGAUCAGAGACUGUCACAUUGUAGCAGUGCAACCAGCCACACCCCCAAAAAGAGCAUUUAGCGAAGUCCCUGUCCCCUGCCAAGAGUUAAAGUUCAGGAGGUAAAUAAAGGUUGAUACAAAGAGGAUAGAAGAGAACAUUUGAUCUCACCAGUCAGCCAACACCCCGUCUGAUGAAAAAGGUGUCACUGGUGCAGUGCUGCCGCUUCCAUAUCGUGCUGAUGCAAGAAAUACAUCAGUUAACUGCACAACAAACGGAUUUAAAUUGAAUUCAAAACUAGAUUUCACUAUGAAAAUGAAAGACCAGAGUACGAAAAACAAUUAAAAAUACUUAUUUCUUGCAGCCUACUUUUUAAGCAACAUUAGAUAUUUGGACUGUUACAUAUCAAUAGCCAACAAAUAAGUAAGGGAUCAGAGAACAGACCUCCACAGAAGCAACAAAAGAAUGAUCAUCCUGGGAAAAGCAUGUUCGUUUUAGUGUUCACUAGCUCUAUACAUCAAACAUUCUUCAAUCCAAAUCAGGCUUCAAGCAUAUAAGGGCAGCGCGGUGCAAAAAGCAUCCCAAGUUAGCAGGGUCCUGGGAAGAUGUAGAAAACCAACCCUAAUGCAGUGGCGGCUUCCACGGCUCAAACCUGUGACUUGCAGGUUUCAAGAAUAUAAUCAAAGAAAUAAGAAUUGCACCUAAGUGAUGCGAAAAUAUGUGAAAGAACAUGUCUCAGUCAGUUAAAAAUCACUUCGAAUUUCAUACUACAUAUGGUACUUCUCAAAAGAAAUAUCUUGGAGAAGUUUGGAGGUCAAGAAAAUCAUCAUACAACAAGGAGUCCAGAGCUAUCAGUGUGUCAAUUCACAUCAAUUGCAUUCUUGUAUGAGACACUCCAGGUCAAGAUACUGCAUAAAACCAUAAAAUUGGAAUAGAAAAGAGACUGCAAACUGAUCACAUAAGAUAUAUGUUUGUAGAUACUGCAAGAACAUUAGUACAUUCAGGAAAUCAAUUAGAGAAAGAGAAAACACUUUUAUUUUGUGAGAAUAUAAAUAAAACUGCAUGAUCACGCUCAAAGUCCCGGACUCUAUCUAUGUCACAUUUUCUGCACUUUUAGUUGCUCAGGACAUAUGUCCCAGCACCUUAAAUAAUAAAGUCUAAUUGGUAAAGGUACAUCCAUCAAUGAUGUCAACAAAGAGAGAUGAUGUCAAAAUGAAUUUCUCAACACGACAUAUGAAAAAGCAAAAACAACAUAAAAAAAAAAAUUGUUUUAAUAGCCUCCUCUGCACAUGAUUAAAGAAGAAAAAACAUCACACACAAAUAAGAGUGUCUAUCCUGAAUCUUUUGAAUGAAAAAGCUAUGUUUAUCUUACUCCAUGGGAUACAAAUUCAGAAACAUUUGAUCAUGAAGAACUGCUUCACUAAGCACUCUAUUCUAGAAAAUGUAUAGUUAUAGAUGGAUGCAUUAGCAGCAUAACAUAUAACAACCAACUUUGAAUCAUUUAGGACAGAAGAAGCAUCAAGUAAGUUAAUAAUUAACAUUGGAUAAAAUAAAAGAAAAAUAAUGAACAAAUGUAAAAUAAGUAUGAAAUUUACACACCUCAAAAGCUUCAGACAUGCAGCAAGUUCCUAACUUGUUAAUGUGGGAACCGAUAAUAGUACUCCCGUUGGCUUUGAUUACCAUCAAGCAUUUUAAUAUGUUCCAUUCUUUUUGGAAUUUUCAUCAGCUUCGGACACUGACGUAUACUCAAACUUUUAAGCACACUCAUAGCAGUUGUGUGAAGAUGCCAGCUUUCAAGAUUGUCAAGAUAUUCAAGUCUAAGGGUCUCCAGCUGACCAAAACUGUUGCCGUUGCAAGUAAUUUUCUUUCCCAUGUAAGCACAUGAUAACUCGAGAUGCUUUAAGUUUGGAAACUUCCCCAGAAUUGGCAUUGGAUCUUCCUCGAGUCCUGUAUAGAAUGGAGACUGUAGGACUAACACAGUGAUGGAUUUUGGCAGAUUGUUUAAAUUUGCUAGUUCUUCUAUUCCCCCUGAUAACCACAAUCUGUGAAGGUUUUCACAAGAAGAAAGAGGUUCAAGGGGAGGAAAAGUUCCACCACGAUUGCAAAUUAGAAACAAGGUAGUGAGGCUUUUCAGGUUGCCAAUGGAUAUUAGGGAGUAAGAUUUCGCAAUUUGUUCCAUGCCCAAUUCUUGAAGGUUGACUAAACCAGAAGCAUCAGUAUCUUUCCACUGAUCACAACGAAUAUAUUUCAGAGUUCGUAGAUUUGUCAGCCUGUUAACUUGCAGGGGAACCUCAUAUCGAGUAAUUAAAUGUCUCAAAUUUGUGAGCUUGGCUAUCUGAGGAGGUAAUUGGCAUGAGCAAUAGUCAUCAAUCAGUGCUUCCAGCGUUUGUAGGUUUUCUAGUUUGGCAAUGGAAGAUGGGAGUUUGAAAAGAUUAGUGUUAGACAAGCCUAAGAACUUCAGGUGUACCAAAUUGCCUAUAGCAUCAGGUAGUUUACCCUCACUAAAAUAGAUGUUCUCCAAGUCCAGCACAUAUAGAUGUGGGAACGUCGUACAGAAUGUCAUGAACUUUUCACUAUUAUCCAAUUUCUCAAAUUCUUUAUCAAAAAACAAUAUUGACCUUACCUUCAAUUUCGAAAGAUCAAGUGAAAGAUACUUUUGAGUUUGUCCAUGAAUAGCAUGUCGGUGACGAAAUGGAGUAACCGAGCUUACACUUGGAUCAUAAAUGUCAAACAAGUUAACCUCCAUGGACUUUUGGACAGCAAGAUCCCGAAGUAGGUCGUGUAUUUUACAUGCAAAAAAUUUAUCGAAGAAUGUCUCGGCCACUUGAAUCAAGCUUCGACUUAUUAGCUCAUGUAGGAAGUUUUCAGCAAUAUCCUCCAUAUGUUCUUCUCUAAUUCUUGGUAUGAAUCCCUCUGCCAGCCACAG
rnacentral:lncRNA from 1 species